AGACCAGUUGGCUGAGGUUUAAAUGGAGGACGCUCCCAGGGCCCCAGAGGGGCGAAUUCCAGACUCCUUUGCCAGGACCUUGUACUAAGCCCCUUCCCUACGCUUUUCCCUGCCUAGGCCUCGUGGGCUGUGCGGCUAUCCUGGAGACAGAUGACAGCUCUCCCUUGGAUGGCUUUGCUGGUUCCGCACCAGCCAGCGCCCCCAUUUUUCCUGCAGCACCCUGAUCUGCACUCCCUGAGGGGCUCCCACUGUCCGCGGUGUGAGGAUGUCCCUGGGUAAGUGGUGCUGGUCAUGAGCACUUUGGGGGACCCUUCAAAUUCCCUUCUGGGGGACCCCAGCGGAGGGCAUGGUCAUGAAUUCCGAGAACUGUAUGGCAAAGCCGGGUGCAGAGGAGAGCCUGGCUAAGUUCUUUCAUUCUCCUGAGCUUGACUUUCUGUAAUGUAGGGAAACUGCGAAAGCUCUGUAAGUGGGGAGAUCUUGCACGUUUUUCUUGCUUUUGAACCCAUGAUGUCUGGCUACUUGUAGAUACUCAAUAUUUGUGGGAUGAAUGAACAAUUUAAGCCUUUUUUUUUUUUAACCAGAAAUUGGUCUUCUGUGACUUUCUUGAUGGGGGCAGAUGAGAUCUUUGUACUGCAUUAAGUGGAUAGCGCUCAGGUCCUUUGGGCUUGGCGCUUUGGCAAUCUCCAGGCAGCUCACUUUGGCCUCUGUUCCUGGAUCCCCUUUGCUCUUUUCUGCGCCUGCAUUCGUAAGUGAUCACGGGCUGCCCGUGUCCUGGUCAUUGGUAGUGCAGGCAGAGGAAAUGCGGGAAAGGUUGCUGUGUUUGGAGGGUCCACAUCUUCACCCUCCUGUCCCAGGAGCUUUCCUACACUCCUCCUUCUCAAAGCUGCACACACCUGGGGCCUCCAGGGGAUUGGGGGCUGCCGUGUGUGUUAUAUCAUGAUUAGAGCUUUCACUUCCUGCUCCCUGCUGUUGGGAACCAGGCUGUGUGUGUUGCUUAAAUUCCCCUUGAUGACCAGCAGAGUCACUGCCACUCAGCCAUGGCACACUGCUGUAAACCUGGUUUUGAUCUCCUUUCAAUCUUUUGCUGAUUAACUACACAUUGAUCAGUGUUGGCCACCCUCACCCUGCCAUAGACCAUCCGCUGUCUUCCUCUGUAGAGUUAACUAUUUUCUCUUUUAUGAGGAAAUAGUGUGUUUGCUUAGGAGUGUUUACUGUCUGGUAACUACUGUGCUAAGCCCUUUCCUGUUGCCUGCCAUCCCUGCUGCGAGCAGGGACAAGCUGGGUGCUCACUCAUGGCAUCUUAUCUGUUGCAGAUAGUCCACUGUGUGCAGAGGCAUGGGAGUUGUCAUGUUGGGAACAUGCUAGACCUCAGUAUCCUUGAGGGAUGCUGCCUUGGGUCUGGAAACUGUUAGAGGAAACCCCAAGAGGUGCAGGCACUGAGCCUCUCAGGACAAUGACCUGGGGUCCCAGCUCCCCUGGAGGGGCCUCCUCAUGGUAAGUGAAUGCCAAGAGGUUAAGUUGGCCUGUGUUUCCGAGGUGGAAAUUCCAGGUCGCUGGCUUCAUUUGUCUUCUCUUUUAGAUUGUUUGGGGGUUGAUCACAGACCAAGAGUGACGAGUGAUGUCACCCUGUGACUCAUGGCUGGACCUUCUUGCCCCUAUUGUCUCAGCACAACAUUAUUCGACUUUUCCCUCAGCGUGGGUGGGCAGAGGAAAAGCCCUGUGGCUCUGGGGACUUGGGAUCCAGAGUUGAAGACCCUUCAGCUGGCUCUGCCCUGCCAGUGCCACAGAGUGCCAUGGCCCAGGAAGACAGGUUUUCUUCCAUCUAGGCCAGGCCAUCCAGUGGCCAUCCUCCGUGUCCUCCCGCCUCCUCCUGGUGUGACUUCUGAAAACCAAGAAUUUGUUCCUGUUGACUUUUUCUGUGCUAUGGACCAUUGUCCUCUCACCCACUCAAUAAAUCUUGAAACAU
rnacentral:lncRNA from 1 species